rnacentral:rRNA from 1 species
CCUGGUUGAUCCUGCCAGUAGUCAUAUGCUUGUCUCAAAGAUUAAGCCAUGCAUGUGUAAGCACACACUGUUUUAAAAGUGAAGCCGCGAAUGGCUCAUUACAACAGCCACAGUUUAUUAGAACUUACAAUCAUGGAUAACUGUGGUAAUUCUAGAGCUAAUACACGCACAAAAACUUCAACUGAAUUGGUUGAAGUGCUUUUAUUAGAACAAAAACCGAACGGCGUUUGACGAAUGUUGAACGUCGAAACUGUUUGGUGAAUCUGAAUAACUAUUUCUGAUCGCAUGGUCUAGCACCGGCGACAUCACUUUCAAGUGUCUGCCUUAUCAACCUUCGAUGGUAGUCUAUGCGACUACCAUGGUGAUAACGGGUAACGGAGAAUCAGGGUUCGACUCCGGAGAGGGAGCCUGAGAAACGGCUACCACAUCCAAGGAAGGCAGCAGGCGCGCAAAUUACCCACUCCCAGCUUGGGGAGGUAGUGACGAAAAAUAACGAGACGAUUCUCGUUUGAGAAACGUUAUCGAAAUGAGUACGCUUUACACACGCUAACGAGUAGCAAUUGGAGGGCAAGUCUGGUGCCAGCAGCCGCGGUAAUUCCAGCUCCAAUAGCGUAUAUUAAAGUUGCUGCGGUUAAAACGCUCGUAGUUGAAUUGUGGUCUUAGACAACAGUCCCCCUACAAAGGUGUGGCACGGUUGCUCGAGGUGGCACGGUUGCUCGAGAUCUUCAUUCGUGGUUGCUGUUGUUGCUCUUCAUUGAGUGUCAAUGGUGCCUCGAGAUUUUACUUUGAAAAAAUUAGAGUGCUCAAAGCAGGUUGUGAUGCCUGAAUAAUGGUGCAUGGAAUAAUAGAAUAUGAUCUCGGUUCUAUUUUGUUGGUUUUCGAACCGGAGAUAAUGAUUGAAAGGAACAGACGGGGGCAUUCGUAUUGCUGCGUUAGAGGUGAAAUUCUUGGAUCGCAGCAAGAUGAACAAUUGCGAAAGCAUUUGCCAAGAAUGUUUUCAUUAAUCAAGAACGAAAGUUAGAGGUUCGAAGGCGAUCAGAUACCGCCCUAGUUCUAACGGUAAACUAUGCCAACCAGCGAUUCGCCGAAGUUCAUUUAAGACUCGGCGAGCAGCUUCCGGGAAACCAAAGUGUUUCGGUUCCGGGGGAAGUAUGGUUGCAAAGCUGAAACUUAAAGGAAUUGACGGAAGGGCACCACCAGGAGUGGAGCCUGCGGCUUAAUUUGACUCAACACGGGAAAACUCACCCGGCCCGGACACUGGAAGGAUUGACAGAUUGACAGCUCUUUCUUGAUUCAGUGGGUAGUGGUGCAUGGCCGUUCUUAGUUGGUGGAGCGAUUUGUCUGGUUAAUUCCGAUAACGAACGAGACUCUACCCUAUUAAAUAGUGACAGUAUUGUAUUUUUUGUCAAAUUGAAAGCUGCACGAAAAAGAGCAAUAACAGGUCUGUGAUGCCCUUCGAUGUCCGGGGCUGCACGCGCGCUACAAUGAAAGCGUCAACGUGAGUUACGUCCUUACCUGAAAAGGUUUGGCAAUCGAAUGAAACGUUUUCUUGAAUGGAAUAGGGAAUUGCAAUUGUUUCCCUUGAACGAGGAAUUCCCAGUAAGCGUGAGUCAUUAGCUCGCGUUGAUUACGUCCCUGCCCUUUGUACACACCGCCCGUCGCUACUACCGAUUGGAUGAUUUAGUGAGGUGUUUUGACUGGCGCCAGUAGUCGGAUAUGUAUUCGGCUUCGCGCCGGGAAAUUUCCCAAACCAAAUCAUCUAGAGGAAGUAAAAGUCGUAACAAGGUUUCCGUAGGUGAACCUGCGGAAG